ACAAGACAGUGUGGCUUCUCAAGGGAUAUGUCCAAUGAUGGUGGAUGAGCUUUCAACUGUAGUGAUACUGAUGAAACAUUUUAAAGAGAUUUAGAUCGAAGAAAUGGAGAUAUCUUCAAUAAACUAAGAACUUCUAAUCCAGUAAAAAUAAUGGACUCUCUUGACCAGAUGAUUUUGAUGCUUUCAUCAAGCUUCCCAAGGCUCCAUAUAUCUCGUUUGACUUGGAAUGCCUCUCGUCGAAGCAAUAGAACUCAGCCACUUCAUCAGCAACCUCAAUCAAGCUGCAUCCUGGAACCUUACGGGAUCCAG
rnacentral:misc_RNA from 1 species